GAUGAACGCUGGCGGCGUGCCUAAUACAUGCAAGUCGAGCGAACAGACGAGGAUCUUGCUCCUCUGACGUUAGCGGCGGACGGGUGAGUAACACGUGGAUAACCUACCUAUAAGACUGGGAUAACUUCGGGAAACCGGAGCUAAUACCGGAUAAUAUAUUGAACCGCAUGGUUCAAUAGUGAAAGACGGUUUUGCUGUCACUUAUAGAUGGAUCCGCGCCGCAUUAGCUAGUUGGUAAGGUAACGGCUUACCAAGGCAACGAUGCGUAGCCGACCUGAGAGGGUGAUCGGCCACACUGGAACUGAGACACGGCCCAGACUCCUACGGGAGGCAGCAGUAGGGAAUCUUCCGCAAUGGGCGAAAGCCUGACGGAGCAACGCCGCGUGAGUGAUGAAGGUCUUCGGAUCGUAAAACUCUGUUAUUAGGGAAGAACAAAUGUGUAAGUAACUAUGCACGUCUUGACGGUACCUAAUCAGAAAGCAACGGCUAACUACGUG
rnacentral:rRNA from 1 species